rnacentral:lncRNA from 1 species
AUGGAAACAUUUCUUACAAAGCUCAGUGAAAGCAUCUCUAAGCAGACAGAGCUGCAGUCAGAGAAGAAAUCUGAAAUCAACAAUCGGCUCCAGCAGGUGAAGGAAGCAGCAGAGAAACUGAAGAAUCAGCUGGAGUCCAAAAAUCAGCAGACGAUCAACUCUGAGACGGAUGAAUUCAUUCAGAAGCUGAUGGAAACAUUCAUUACACUGGAAUCAAAGCUCAGUGAAAGCAUCGCUCAGCACAAAGAGGUAAACAUGGACACAUGUGAUGCUGUCAUCCUCCCAAUGAUCACAGAACUGUGCACUUAUAUUCCUGCAGUUUUGUCCAGCAGCAGUUUCUGUGUCAUUAACCAAACACAACUUUUAACAGAGGGGAGGGGGGAGGCAGUCAGGGCGGUGUUUGGUGUGCUGAUGGUUGGAG